rnacentral:rRNA from 1 species
AUGGCGGACCAAUGGCGAAUCCCGGAUGUCGCAUCAUUCCGCCGGACGGGAACAGAGUGGCUUGCCCAAGACCUUUGUGAUCUGCCGGAUAUGGAGAGGAUGGAGCUCAUGAUGACUUUGUGGCGAUGUUGGUUCGUUCGCAACGAGCUGGUGUACCACAAGAAGCCGCCGCCGAUUGAAGUGUCCAAACGCUUCCGCACCAGCUACGUCGACUCUUUGGUGGGGAUUCAGAACAAUCCAGAGGCGAGUCUCACCAAGGGGAAGCAGGUGGUUGAUACGAGUGUCCCCAAACGGAUCGUGCAACGGGAAGUCCAAGCGCCGCCAGUGCCGCUGCACUGGUCCAGACCAGCCACGGGGUGGACAAAGCUCAACGUUGAUGGAUCCUUUAGUGCCACGGGUGGAGAGGCCGGAGCAAUCAUGAUCCUUCGCAGCGAAGCCGGUGAUAUCAUCUUCUCCUCCUGCAGGGAACUACGGACGUGCUCUGAGCCCCUUGAGGCCGAGCUACAUGCAUGCAUGGAGGCGCUCAACCUAGCACUGCAGUGGACUCCGUUGCCUAUUGUGAUGGAAACGGACUGUUCGGUGGCACUACAUGCGAUAUUAGCUCCGGUGCCGGACAGGUCUCGUUUUGCUAUGCUUGUCGACCAGGUUAGACGCUUGAUGUCAAGAGGUAGAGAAAUAAAGGUAGUUCAUGUACGUAGAGAGCAGAAUGGCGUAAGCCACUAUCUUGCGAACUACGGUAGAGUUCAUAAACGCACGGUUGUGUGGCUGGGAUCGGGACCGGAGGAGGUCCCAGAUUUGUGUAAGGCCGAGGCCCUUUAUGUGUGA